rnacentral:rRNA from 1 species
GACGAACGCUGGCGGCGUGCUUAACACAUGCAAGUCGAACGGAAAGGCCCUGCUUUUGUGGGGUGCUCGAGUGGCGAACGGGUGAGUAACACGUGAGUAACCUGCCCUUGACUUUGGGAUAACUUCAGGAAACUGGGGCUAAUACCGGAUAGGAGCUCCUGCUGCAUGGUGGGGGUUGGAAAGUUUCGGCGGUUGGGGAUGGACUCGCGGCUUAUCAGCUUGUUGGUGGGGUAGUGGCUUACCAAGGCUUGGACGGGUAGCCGGCCUGAGAGGGUGACCGGCCACAGUGGGAUGGGGGAGCCGCCCAGACGCCUACGGGGGGCAGGGGGGGGAAAUUUUGCACAAAGGGCGGAGGGCGUGUGGAGGAACGCCGGGUGGGGAAAGUCGGCCUUCGGGGAGGAAACCGUUUGCCCCUGAGAGGGAGCGUGGGGAAGGUAAAUGGGAAAAAAAGCACCGCUAAAUUAGUG